GAAUUUUAUAUAUUAAAUAAAUUAUUAAAAUUUAUAUUAAAAUAUUUUAUUGGGAGGAUAUUUAAAUUAGAAAAACUUUAAUUAUAUAAUUACAUUGAUUAUUGAUUUAAAAUGAAUAAAUAUAAUUUUAUUAAGAAUUAAUUACCUUAGGGAUAACAGCAUAAUAUUUUUUUGUAGUUCUUAUAUAAAAUAAUGAUUAU
rnacentral:rRNA from 1 species